CCAGCUGGGAGUCCCCCUUACCCCCACCCGGAAUAUCUGCCUUUUAAAUGGAGCUGUCUCCAUUGUUGGUCUUUCCAUUAUCAUUCUGCACUGGGACUUUUUGAGGUCUUAAAAUUCCUCUGAGAAGCUGAAAAAUGGCAUAAAAGGUCCAAAGCUGAGAUACAUAAACCUCAGUUCAGGUCUUUGUGGAAGUUCUGCCCCAGGAGAGAUGUUAUCCUAAGAAUAUCCAGCAUCAAUUCAAUAGUUGCUCCCAAGCAUGAAAGUAAGCCUAGUUAUCACCUUGGACUAAUAAUAUGCUCGAUACCCACAGGAAUAAUGCUACCAAAGCAGAAGAAAAUUCAUACUGAUAAAGAAUCCUAUUACAGAGAACAUUUUCAUUACUAUGGUUACAAAAUACUGCCAUUGUUUCUGAGAACACCACUGGAGGAGUUCAAUGAGCAUGGAGUCAACAACAAAAGACUGAAUUCUUCCCCUUUUUUUGGUGAACCACACACUAAGGAUUAGAGCAUUAGGGGACUCAGUCCUCUGUGAAAUUACUGAGAUAUAAUUUAAGGACAAAA